GACAGAGGGUGCAACCGUUGUUCGGAAUUAUUGGGCGUAAAGCGCGUGUAGGCGGCUUUGCAAGUCGGGUGUGAAAGCCCUCAGCUCAACUGAGGAAGUGCGCUCGAAACUGCAUCGCUUGAGUACCGGAGAGGAUGGCGGAAUUCCCCAAGUAGAGGUGAAAUUCGUAGAUAUGGGGAGGAACACCGGUGGCGAAGGCGGCCAUCUGGACGGAUACUGACGCUGAGGCGCGAAAGCCAGGGGAGCAAACGGG
rnacentral:rRNA from 1 species